GACACACACCUGAUCCCCCCAACACACACCUGACACACACCUGAUCCGCCUGACACACACCUGACCCCCUGAUGUUUGUCCCGAGGACACGCGAACAUGUACUCCUGGGACAGGUGCUCCUGGGACAGGUGCUCCUGGGACAGGUACGCCUGGGACAGGUACCUCCUGGGACAGGUGCUCCUGGGACAGGUGCUCCUGGGACAGGUACCUCCUGGGACAGGUACGCCUGGGACAGGUGCGCCUGGGACAGGUACCUCCUGGGACAGGUGCUCCUGGGACAGGUACCUCCUGGGACAGGUACCUCUUGAGACAGGUGCUCCUGGGACGGGUGCUCCUGGGACAGGUAUCUCCUGGGACAGGUGCUCCUGUCUGAACUGAACAGGAAACUGAACCUGUGGAGGUUUCGAGGCGACCCUGAACGCCUCAUCGCCGUCUCUGCCUUAAUGAACUCCUCCCUGAUUGUGAUGUCACAGCUUAAGUUUUACUUAUUUAUUAUUUUAGUUUUAAUAUUUAUGGUGAUGCAGUCAUGAAAGAAUCCUCUCCUGUGAGAGUCCCUCUCCGUCCGCUGGAACUCAGAAUGUUAGCGUCGUGGUUUUCUACGUUUUGGGAGCUUUUUAUAAUGUUUAUUGGAGCUUUGAUGAUGUUUUGUGUGUUUCUAGCAGCGAGCUGGUGUAGAUAUUAUGGGAGACGAGUUUUAAAGCUUCUCUAUUGUCACAUACACAUACAUGUAGCUGCGCCCGGGGACCAGCUCCACAUCUGAGCCAGUGCCUUGCUCAAGGGCACUGACUGGAGACCCUAGUACAUGUUUUUAGAUGGUGGGGGACACCGGGUACCUGGAGGAAACCCACACACACACACACACACACACACACACACACACACACACACACACACACACACACACACACACACAUACACAUGGCUGAACUCAAACAGGAUCAGAACAUUAUGAUUCUCUCCCGUUCACUACCGGACACAUUUUAACUGACAGCCUGGACACAGGAAGGGGUGGGGCUUAUACACAGGACGAGGUGGGACUUCCACUCUCCUCGGCCAGGAGGCGGAGCUUGGACAGGAAACAGAUUCCACACACACGGAUAUUUAAAUGUGAAAAAAAAGUUUAAUUGAAUGUUCGAAUGGUUUUAUCCCAAAGAAUGAGAGUGACCUCAGCGAUGAUGUAAUCAAGUCAGAUUUGUUCACUUAAAUAAAAAGUCAAACAGA